rnacentral:rRNA from 1 species
UGAACGCUGGCGGCGUGCUUAACACAUGCAAGUCGAACGGAGUUAAGAAGGAAGCUUGCUUUCAUUUAAACUUAGUGGCGGACGGGUGAGUAACGCGUGAGGAACCUGCCCUUCAGUGGGGAACAACAACUAGAAAUGGUUGCUAAUACCGCAUAAUGUCGGAUUGCCGCAUGACAGACCGACCAAAGGAUUUAUUCGCUGAAGGAUGGCCUCGCGUCCGAUUAGAUAGUUGGUGAGGUAACGGCCCACCAAGUCUACGAUCGGUAGCCGAACUGAGAGGUUGAUCGGCCACAUUGGGACUGAGACACGGCCCAGACUCCUACGGGAGGCAGCAGUGGGGAAUAUUGGGCAAUGGGCGAAAAAGCCUGACCCAGCAACGCCGCGUGAAGGAUGACGGUCUUCGGAUUGUAAACUUCUUUAAUUGGGGAAGAAUAAAUGACCUACCCAAAGAAUAAGUCACGGCUAACUACGUGCCAGCCGCCGC